GAUGAACGCUGGCGGCGUGCCUAAUACAUGCAAGUCGAGCGAACAGAUGAGGAGCUCGCUCCUCUGACGUUAGCGGCGGACGGGUGAGUAACACGUGGAUAACCUACCUAUAAGACUGGGAUAACUUCGGGAAACCGGAUCUAAUACCGGAUAAUAUAUUGAACCGCAUGGUUCAAUAGUGAAAGACGGUUUUGCUGUCACUUAUAGAUGGAUCCGCGCCGCAUUAGCUAGUUGGUAAGGUAACGGCUUACCAAGGCAACGAUGCGUAGCCGACCUGAGAGGGUGAUCGGCCACACUGGAACUGAGACACGGUCCAGACUCCUACGGGAGGCAGCAGUAGGGAAUCUUCCGCAAUGGGCGAAAGCCUGACGGAGCAACGCCGCGUGAGUGAUGAAGGUCUUCGGAUCGUAAAACUCUGUUAUUAGGGAAGAACAAAUGUGUAAGUAACUAUGCACGUCUUGACGGUACCUAAUCAGAAAGCCACGGCUAACUACGUG
rnacentral:rRNA from 1 species